rnacentral:tRNA from 1 species
CUACCUAGCUCAGCUGGGAGAGCGCCGCGUUCGCAACGCGGAGGUCGACGGUUCGAUCCCGUUCGGGUCCACCA